rnacentral:snRNA from 1 species
AUACUAUCUGGCUGUGACAUGUCACCCCAUUGUUCACCAGGGUUGAUUCGGCUGAUCUGGCUGGCUAGGCAGGUGUUCCCUUCCUCCUUCACCAUUCCAUUUGCGUCCCUCCCGAAGCUGUGCACUCAGUCAAAGAGGACAGCUUUCCCCAAAUAGAGACGAACCAGUCUUCAGUCAAGGGUAUACGAGUAGCUGUGCUCCCCUGCUAGAACCUCCAAACAACCUUAAAGCAAACACUAAAUUUUCAUUAGAAAUAAUUUAUAUUUAGAGUUCAAAAGAUUAACAAUGAAGGAAAUAAAUACAUGCUACAAAGUUAUCUAGAGACUGAAAAAUAGUUAUUUCUGUG